rnacentral:rRNA from 1 species
CAGCAGCCACGGUAAUACAGAGGGUGCAAGCGUUAAUCGGAAUUACUGGGCGUAAAGCGCGCGUAGGUGGUUUGUUAAGUUGGAUGUGAAAGCCCCGGGCUCAACCUGGGAACUGCAUCCAAAACUGGCAAGCUAGAGUACGGUAGAGGGUGGUGGAAUUUCCUGUGUAGCGGUGAAAUGCGUAGAUAUAGGAAGGAACACCAGUGGCGAAGGCGACAACCUGGACUGAUACUGACACUGAGGUGCGAAAGCGUGGGGAGCAAACAGGAUUAGAUACCCCCGUAGUCCCUGUCUCUUAUAC